GAUGAACGCUAGCGGCAGGCCUAAUACAUGCAAGUCGAACGGUGUCUUCGGACAUAGUGGCGCACGGGUGCGUAACACGUAUGCAACCUACCUUACAUUGGGGGAUAGCCUUUCGAAAGGGAGAUUAAUACCGCAUAAGACAGUAGCUGGGCAUCCAGCAGCUGAUAAAGAUUUAUCGAUGUAAGCUGGGCAUGCGUCCAAUUAGCUAGUUGGUGAGGUAACGGCUCACCAAGGCAAUGAUUGGUAGGGGAACUGAGAGGUCAAUCCCGCCACACUGGCACUGAGAUACGGGCCAGACUCCUACGGGAGGCAGCAGUAGGGAAUAUUGGGCAAUGGACGCAAGUCUGACCCAGCCAUGCCGCGUGCAGGAUGAAGGCGUUAUGCGUUGUAAACUGCUUUUAUACAGGAAGAAACGACUCUUGCGAGAGGCAUUGACGGUACUGUAUGAAUAAGCACCGGCUAACUCCGUGCCAGCCGCCGCCGUAA
rnacentral:rRNA from 1 species